AGAAUAUUUACUUUUUCUGUAGACUGUAAAAUGACUUUAGGAUUCUGGAUCCAUCAUCAAUAUGACAUAUUUAAAAAAUUUCAGAUUUCAAAAGCAACAAUGUUAGGUUAAACAGAAGAAUCUUGAUGGCUCAAGCACCGAAAAUGCAGCUCUUUUUAUUUGCUGCUCUCUGUUUCUCCUUGAGAAAAUGAGGCAUGAUUACUGAAGUGCUUCUGAAAGAAUUCCAUUGUCUUGCAUUUAGAAAUCCUGUGUGUGGAAUUCACCAGCUGCUAUUCUCUGAGCUGCCUCAUGGAAGGGCCCAACUGGCAAGCAACUGAGACAAGCAAUCGUCAGAGAAGAAUGGAUGUACCCCACCCAAGGUCCUGCAAUGAACUUGAAUGAUCCUGCAAUCUCAGAAUUGAAAGAAUCCUAUCAAAAACAAAGAACUUAUGAGCACAUACUCUACAGUAGAACUUGAGAUGACUGCAGCUCUUGUCUGCACCUUGAAGAUUUGCAAGAGCCCCUGAACUGGAAGACCCCACUAAGCUAUGCUCAGUUUCCUAACCCACUGUAACUGUAAGAUAAUAAAUGUUAUUCUUUUAAGCUUCUAA